rnacentral:tRNA from 1 species
GUCUCUGUGGCGCAAUAGGUCAGCUCAUUCGACUGUUAACCGAAAGGAUGGUGGUUCAAGUCCACCCAGGGAUG